GAUGAACGCUGGCGGCGUGCCUAAUACAUGCAAGUCGAGCGAACAGACGAGGAGCUUGCUCCUUCGACGUUAGCGGCGGACGGGUGAGUAACACGUAGGUAACCUACCUAUAAGACUGGGAUAACUUCGGGAAACCGGAGCUAAUACCGGAUAAUAUUUCGAACCGCAUGGUUCGAUAGUGAAAGAUGGCUUUGCUAUCACUUAUAGAUGGACCUGCGCCGUAUUAGCUAGUUGGUAAGGUAACGGCUUACCAAGGCAACGAUACGUAGCUGACCUGAGAGGGUGAUCGGCCACACUGGAACUGAGACACGGUCCAGACUCCUACGGGAGGCAGCAGUAGGGAAUCUUCCGCAAUGGGCGAAAGCCUGACGGAGCAACGCCGCGUGAGUGAUGAAGGUCUUCGGAUCGUAAAACUCUGUUAUUAGGGAAGAACAAACGUGUAAGUAACUGUGCACGUCUUGACGGUACCUAAUCAGAAAGCCACGGCUAACUACGUG
rnacentral:rRNA from 1 species